rnacentral:sRNA from 1 species
UUCAAUGAAUGUUGAACUAAGUUCGGUACGUCCUGUGCCAAAGUUGAACUGAACCCUGUCCUGAGGG